AAUUAUAUAGUUUAAUUUUUUUAAAAACAUUAUAUUUUCAUUAUAAAAAUAAGAACCCUUUUCUUUAUAAUUA
rnacentral:tRNA from 1 species